ACUGGUAUCUAGUUAGAAUAAACAUCGUCUGAAACAACACGUUGAUAUGUAUAUCAGCCAAAUAAUUAGUUGAACCAUUGUAAUAGGCGCCGAGAAAUACCAUAUCUUGUCCAAAUUUGCAAUAAGCAAGUGCAUGGCGAUCCAUUUGAUUUAUAUGUAUAUAUCUUCAUACUAACUCUCCUCAUGGCCGCGAAGUGACUUGGUAUAGCAGACUAGUCUUAUAUUCUUUGAGAAGUAUUCUAUAUAUCAUCUUUGUCACUUUGUGUACAUUUGAGUGGCUGUCGAGAAAUUCAACCAAAGCUAAAGGUUUAUAUAUAGCUUUAUACUUACUAUUGAAGUAUGUCAAAAGAAGGA